GGAAAUAUAACAUUAUUCAUUUAAUUCCACAAAAGGUGAGUAAGAUAUUAAAUGUAUAAGUUGUCUUUUUAAAAUGUUUAAGCUUUCUACAUAAUGUAAAUUGAACAUUUUAUUAUUAUUAUUAAUUUCGCGACCUAUUAUCUAAAUUGUGUGUUCAUGAAGGCCUGUAACGUACUGCAGCUUCCUGCAGGCAACGUGAAACAUUGCUGAGGGAGAACUUUAUUCACAACAAAAGGAUAAAGAUGAAGAUGCGGGACUUGAGCAGCUUGUGAUGGCUGUAAUUGUAAAGAAUGGAUCUUCUAGGAGUGGAAGCCCAAAGGAUGCUGGAAUUGUUAUUGAGGCCUUAAAGGUGUUCACAGGGCAUGCUUUAUCCUUGGAUCUAUGCAUUGAAUCUCCAGUAUCCCAGGCAUCUUUUCAGGUGUUUCAGAAACUUUUCUUGGAGCUGGAUUCUUCAAAGUUUAUGAACUGAUUACAGUACAGUAAGUCUAAACUGCUGUCUGAUUUUCUGGGUGUGAAUCAAUGUAACAGAACACAAACAUGGAACCUUGUGGACGAGAAAUGUGGACGGUUUUCUUUAAAGACUGUAAAAUACUUUUUGAAGUUUACACUGUUACAAAUACAUCAUUAAAAUGAGAUGCUUUCCUGUUCUUUUGACUGCAAUAAAAUAAGAAUUGAUUCAUCUUUGUCUGUCAUUCUGAAAUCAGAUAUAAUACUCAUUACUAAUAAAAAUAUUAAUGGAUGAUGUUAAAUUAAAAUAGUAUAAUUGAAUAGAAUUUAUUGUAUAGUGCUAGGUCUUUGUCCUGUAUACCCAAUAUUUUGUUUAAAUUUAAAUUAAUUUCUAAUUGCAAAUUGCAGAUUACCUUUUUGAAUGGGUUACUAUUAAGGAGUUUAUGUAGUGAUUCUAACACAAUUUUUAUUUGUGGAAUUUAAUUAAUGAUAUUGCUUGUAAUCUGUUGCCACACUUUUAUUGAGUAGAUAUGGCAUAAUAUUUUUUAUUGUAUAGUGCUAGAUCUUUGUCUAGUAUACACAAUAUUUUUGUUUAAAUUUUAAUAAAAAUUUUAAUUGCAAA